rnacentral:rRNA from 1 species
CAGCAGCCGCGGUAAUACGUAGGUGGCAAGCGUUGUCCGGAAUUAUUGGGCGUAAAGCGCGCGCAGGUGGUUCCUUAAGUCUGAUGUGAAAGCCCACGGCUCAACCGUGGAGGGUCAUUGGAAACUGGGGGACUUGAGUGCAGAAGAGGAAAGUGGAAUUCCAAGUGUAGCGGUGAAAUGCGUAGAUAUUUGGAGGAACACCAGUGGCGAAGGCGACUUUCUGGUCUGUAACUGACACUGAGGCGCGAAAGCGUGGGGAGCAAACAGGAUUAGAUACCACUGUAGUCCCUGUCUCUUAUAC